AAAAAAAAUGCUUGUUUGCAAUAAUCAUGUGAUGAUGUUUGUUUGUUUCCUUGUGCAAUCAUGUGAUGAGGAAGAAGCUUGUGAGUUUGCCGGCCAGAUUGGAGAUGGUCAGGAGGAGAGCUGAUGACAGAGAUAGCUGUUUGAUGUGGAAGCAGAGCACCAUGUCACAGAAGAUCAAAGGUGGUACGGAGGAGGAGGUUUGGUCACGUGGGGGAAGGGACUGACUGAUAUUAGGUCCUAGGAUUAUGAAGAAUCGACAGACAGAGAAUAGCAAAGGUUACAACAGCCUUUGUGCACCCAAUGGCAGAUCAAUGGGUAAAAAAUAAGUGUGGGGUAACCGCAAGACAAGAUAAUGAUACCAUCCCUCUUCAUUGCUAACAUAUCAUGGACUCCAGAAGCUGUAAGUAUUCAGGUGUCCAUAUUAGAUAAUUUCAAUUAAACCCAAGUUUACACUUUGUAAAUAUUCUUGACCAUCGGCUCUUUCAUGUGUGUUUCCAAUGGAAGGAGAAGCUGAAACAUGAGGGAGCAUAUGGAUGAGAUAAACUUUGGUUCGAGGAGGACAGCAGCAAUGCUACCAUGAAUCGAAUCGAAUAUUUCUUUGCGUAUCUGUAGGAAGGAGGAGAGCAUAAGGAAGAUCCGUCACGUUUGACCUUAGACUUCCCACCUUGAUUUCCUUAGGUAUAAAGUGACGUGCAUGUUUGGUUGUUUCUUUGCGUGCAAGAUUGGAGAUGGUCAGGAGGAGCUUGAGAGAGUGAAAGGUGAUGAUGAAGAAGUCAAACACGGAGGAGGAGGAGGACGUAAGUAAAGAAAGUGUUUGGCACAUUAGGAUUGUGAAGAAUCCACCCACAAACAAAAACAUAUAAGAAGAGCCAAGUUAGGCUUUUGUGAAACAGGACCUUAAACAGGAAGUGAUGGUCGAUCUCUGGUGUAGCAGUGUCUUUGUACAUACAAACAAAGAGUGAUGGUACGUCUCAUCAACUUCGGUGACUUUGCCUCUGAGCCUAAAUGUCAGGAGAAUGAUUUCGAUGCUAGUGUGAGUCAAACAAAACAUUACUCAGCAGUCCGAAUUUUCACUGCAUUUAGCAUUGCUCAAGGAUAAAAAGGAUAUGGC